AUGGACGAAAGUCUGACGGAGCAACGCCGCGUGAACGAAGAAGGUUUUCGGAUCGUAAAGUUCUGUUGUUAGGGAAGAACAAGUACCGUUCGAAUAGGGCGGUACCUUGACGGUACCUAUCGAGGAAGCCCCGGCUAACUACGUGCCAGCAGCCGCGGUAAUACGUAGGGGGCAAGCGUUGUCCGGAAUUAUUGGGCGUAAAGCGCGCGCAGGCGGUUCUUUAAGUCUGAUGUGAAAUCUUGUGGCUCAACCACAAGCGGUCAUUGGAAACUGGGGAACUUGAGUACAGAAGAGGAGAGCGGAAUUCCACGUGUAGCGGUGAAAUGCGUAGAGAUGUGGAGGAACACCAGUGGCGAAGGCGGCUCUCUGGUCUGUAACUGACGCUGAGGUGCGAAAGCGUGGGGAGCGAACAGGAUUAGAUACCCUGGUAGUCCACGCCGUAAACGAUGAGUGCUAGGUGUUAGGGGGUUUCCGCCCCUUAGUGCUGCAGUUAACGCAUUAAGCACUCCGCCUGGGGAGUACGGCCGCAAGGCUGAAACUCAAAAGAAUUGACGGGGGCCCGCACAAGCGGUGGAGCAUGUGGUUUAAUUCGAAGCAACGCGAAGAACCUUACCAGGUCUUGACAUCUUUGGAUGUCCCUAGAGAUAGGGAGUUCCCUUCGGGGACCAAAUGACAGGUGGU
rnacentral:rRNA from 1 species